UGUUGACCUCGAAUCAGGUAGGAAUACCCGCUGAACUUAAGCAUAUCAAAUUGGGGAGGAAACUUUACCGGAGUUAUACAACUCAUCAACCUGUGAAACAUACUAAAAAGUUGCCUC
rnacentral:rRNA from 1 species